rnacentral:lncRNA from 1 species
AUGUUGAAAGCUGUGAAGGGAGAAAUGAGACAGAAGUUGCUGUCCAUAGAGGCCAGAGCUAAUGGAAAGAAAGAGCAUCCAUAUCUAUGGUACAUAUUGACAAAAUCUACAUUUGAGAAUAGUAUUAGAAGUACCAAGAACCAGCACCUCCAGGGAAAGCAUCACCUUUGGCAAGUUAGUAUAUAUGUUCUAGAAUAUUCCCCUAACCAACUGAAAUUUUCCAGCCUUCCAGUUGGAAAACUCCUUCAGGAUAUUAAGUAUAAUAGGAUAAGGCUGGCCAAGUGUGAAGGCACAGAGUUGAAAGACCUAGAAGGUAUCUGGCCUUUGGCAAAAUGUCUAUGGCAAAAAUUGCAGAUAGGAAAGACCUGGCUCUAGAGAAAUAAGAUGAACCGGAAGAGGGUGCAGGGUAAUCCUGGUAAACUUGGCAGGAGGAGCUAAAGCCUGAGGAUCAGUGCCUCAGAAAAAUGAGCCCUGCCCAGUCAAUACAGAACACUACAGGCAAUCUGGGGCCACCAUCAGAGGAUAUGGAACCAGCCCCAUGAUUACUGACUGCUGGGUAAAAUGACCUGCUCUUAGAGACAGGCAGUCAGAUAUCUUUGAGGGAAAACAUCUAGACUGGAACAAGGCAGAAAUGCUGACCCUGAGGAGCUCUUUACAUGGAGGAGAACUUGGAUGUACUAUGCAGGGAACAAGUAUUUCUAUGACUGAGGUGGGGGGAGGUCUUUCUUUCCAGAAAGUCAGGCACACCAGAGAAAUUCAGAAUCAACACCAGUGCUCAGACUUAAAGGGUCCCAAUGAAAGGAUGAAGGAUCUUCCAAUGAGAGCAAAAAUGUGAUUGCAAAGCGUUCCUGAUGAUUCCAAGCAUGCUUGGAGACACAGGUCCAUGCCUGGGGAGAAGCAAAUUCAUAUCUCCCUUUUUUCUCAGUCCAAAAAAGAAUAACAAAUGCAUACUAACAUUUGUUUGUACUGUGUAUUACAAAGGGCUGUUGUUAUUUUGUUCUGAGCUAGACAGCUCUUAUAUUCACUUACUGUCCUUAUUUAUAUUUUGUAGCACAGAUGGAAUGUAAAUAUGGGAAGGAAGAGCUAUCCCUCCCCCUUGAAAAUGAGUGGACAUGAAAUAUCUCUAAACAAAGGAACUCAUGAUUAAUAAAUCCUACAUUUGACAAAUAGUUACUUCUUGA